rnacentral:lncRNA from 1 species
GAAAAAGAAAAAUAAAAAAAAAUUUCAAUGGAAAAAAGUUUUAUGUUUUGUAAUAUUUGAUUUGAAGGAGAAAAUAGUAAUUUUCUAUCAAUAUUUAUUUGGUUGACAAAAAAAAAUAUUCAUAUUUGUUUGGUUUGGUGUAAAAAAAUAAAUAAGAAAAUUUUAUGCAGCUUGAGUUUUUCAUUUUCUGUCGAAAAAUAGUGAAAAACGAAAAUUUCAAUUUUUCUCCAAAUCCGUAAAAAUGCUUUUACAGAAAAAUAUUUUUACGUCGAAUCAAACGAACGAAAAAAUAUUUUUCAUACCGAAAAUAAUUUUUUGAUUCGUUUUAAGCUCAACCAAACACCCCCUAAAGUGACUUUAUUUUUACAUAGAAAUUCUCACUA